CAUCCGAAAGCUGAUUCCAGCUACAGGUUCAUACUGUUGUAUUCUUUUAUACUGUUUCAUUCGUACUGUUUUAAAUCAUUCAGUGAAUGCAAAGUUAAACCGUCGUGUUUUUCAUCUAGAUUUAAAAGUGUCUACCGUUGAAACACAUCUGAUCUCUUCUGAAAGCUGAUUCCAGCUCCAGGUGGCAUAUUAACUGAAUGCUGAUGCACCUUGUAUUUCGAUUGCUUUGUAUGCUUGAAACAUGUGAAGAAUUGACAAUAAAUAAUCUUUAUCAAGUGUUAUACAUUAAAAAGUGGAUAAGUAACAAAAAUGUCACUCCUGACAGCUGAUAAAUUAAUGUUUUUUUAUAGCACCAUUGAGGCGAGCACUUUUCAAGGCAAGAUUCUUUAUAGAACCUUAUAAAAAGUUUCCAUAUAGUACCAAAAAACGGGUUCUGCUGUGGUUACAUGCUGAGGAACCCUUAUUUGGUACUUUUUAGGAGCAUUUGUCUUAAGAGUGUUGCAUAGGUUCGAAACUUUCAAACUUGAAACCAAAUAGAAGGGUCACACUGUUUUUUUUUGUGGAGUGGACAUGAACAAGCUGCAGGCAUUCAAAUGUUAUUUGUAAUUUAUUGUCUUAUUUCAUAUUUAAAAAAUAGCUAUACAACUGGUGUUCCUCAAUUUUAGGGCCUAUUUUGUUUAGUAUAUCAGUUUUGUUCAGUUUUUUAUGUGCAUGCAAAAAGCAAUCAGCAAGCAAAUUAACUGAAGCUUUACCUUCAUGUUCUUUUUGUGUAAGUGAUAACUGUUUCUGUAUGUAUUUUAUGUAUUUGUAUGUUUUUUACACGUAUAGAGUGAAAUGCACACGGUGAGGAAUGGACCCAGACCUUCAGUGCCAGACCUCUGACCCGUUAACCUCCAUCCCGACAGCCAGCGCCUUCUCCGGCUCCCAUUGCGGUAUCGCUUCUCGGCUUUUUGGACAAGAACAAGUGGACACCGGGGACUACAAGUUUAAAUGGAUUUUUGACCUUCGGAAAUGGAAGCGAGGCUUGCUCCGUCCACUCCGUUCAUCGACUCGGGCGCUUUCCGGGCACAAAUAAGUUUGCGGAGGUGAUACCAGGACGAAUUAAACAGCCUCGACACAGCUGAAGGCGCAAGAAAAUCGUACGAGACAGUUUGGGAUGUUAAAAACACCUGAAAACUUUUUUUUCCACUACCCUUCAUACUACAGCGGUCGAAAAACCACAGCAACGUCGACACGCCUGGAAGCAUAGCUGUAUUUGUUUAAGACAACGGGUAAAGUAUUUUCUUGAUUACCUAAAUGACUUGCAGUAAGAAAAUAUUUUAAUUUAUAAUGAUAACUCUGUCAUCAUUUAUUCAUCCUCGUGUUGUUUUCAACCUGUAUGCAUUCGUAUUUUGGAGGUGACACGAUGACGACUUAAACAUCAUCGACACAGCUGAAAAAGCGAACGAGACAGAUUGGGAUGUUCAAAACACCUGAAAACUUUUUUUUCACUGUACUACAGCUGUCGAAGAACCACAGCAACGUCGGCAGAUCUGGAAGCAUAGCUGUAUUUGUUUAACUCACAACGACAACGGGUAAGUCAUUGAGCCCUUGUGUUUUUAUUUAUCCACGUUCUAAAAUUGCUAUGCUUUCGUUGUUUCUCGAUUGCUCUGUACAUUUCUUUGUUUCUAUUCCACGUAAAGUUACUUUGUAAUAACGAAACGAUAUAUUGAAAUGCGCUAUUUAAAUCCAUUUGAUUUAAAUUGUUUCACGUUUUUCUCUCUGCACGGUUUAACCGGGCUGGAAACGGAAAAUGGGUAGAUCUCGAAGAAUAUUUGGUUUCAGACCUGGCUUCGUGCGCCUUUCCACCUGGUCACACACAGUAAUGAAAUGGUAGUCGGACGGCCUUCGGGGGCGCCGUCGAUGUGAUCGGUCACAGGAAGAUGCGGCCGUCUGGCCUCAAAGGCUGUUGCUCAUACUUACCUGGCAGGGGAGAUACCAUGAUCAUGAAGGUGGUUCACCCAGGGCGAGGCUCAGCCAUUGCACUCCGGUUGUGCUGACCCUUUGCGAAUUCCCCAAAUGUGGGAAUCUCGACUGCAAAAUUUCUGAUAGUGGGGGACUGCGUUCGCGCUCUCCCCUGGCCUUUGUGUUAAAAAUAGAUUCGUUUGUCUUUUUACGGAAAAUCCAAGAGACGCCUAACCACGGCACAAGAACGCAUUGGUCAUCAAAAAGCGGCUAUUAAACGACUACAUAACUUCUAAUAGACCGCGAAUAUGUGUCUAGGCUAAAACAAGGCUUAAUUUGGGCUGUCAGUGAAAAUCUAAUAGACGUUUGACCGUUCCCCAAGUAUAGACUGGCCAUUAAAUAGAACCACAAUCAAACAGCUACAUGUCUAAGAGACAUUCAACGAAAUAAUGCUUAGAUGAUUCUUUUACUUACAAUGUAAGCGGUUCUCAGGAAUGGCAAUCAUCCAAACUAAUAAAUUAUAAAGCUUUUAAAAGAAAAUGACAACCGUUAAACAACCUAGACAACGUUGGGCAGUACAAAAUGCUUAGAAAUACAAGACAAAACGAAAUAUUGUACAUGAAUGUACAUUAAAACAAGCCAACAAAUCUGCCAAUGGGCUAAGACAAUUUUUCUUGAAUUAGGUGUUUAAAUCUAGAUUUGUUUCUAACCCCUUUGGCAGAUUUAUUUGCUUGUUUUAAGCCCAAAUUCACUUAAAUUUUAUGUUUUUUCUCCCGAAAGGCUAGGCUUAUUUUCUUAUGUCCUUUUGCUCAUCAAAAUAAUGCAUCUUAUUUUAAGACUUUUUAGAUAUUUGCAUAGUUAAAAAGGAUUUUUUGUGCAAUGUAUUCAUUCAUUCGCUACCCUUCAUACUACAGCUGUCGAAAAACCACAGCAACGUCGACAGACCUGGAAGCAAAGCUGUAUUUGUUUAACUUGCAAAGACAACGGGUAAAGUAUUUUCUUGAUUACCUAAAUGACUUGCAGUAAGAAAAUAUUUCAAUUUAUAAUAAUGAUAAUUCUGUCAUCAUUUACUCAUCCUCGUGUUGUUUUAAACCUGUAUGCGUUCGUUUUUUCUGAUUAACACAAAAGAAGAUAUUUUGAGGAAUGAUGGUAAACCCACAGCAGAUAGUGACCAUUGACUUCCAUAGUAGGAAUAAAAAAAUAUGAUGAAAUUUAAUAGGUACCAUCGACUGUGUGCUAACCAUCAUUUUUCAAAAUAUUUUCUUCAUCAUUUAUCACGAUACUUCCAAAAUAUUUUUUUCCUACUAUGGAAGUCAAUGAUAAUGUAUUUCAUUAUUUGCUUUACAAGCCUGAAAAUGAUAGGUUGGAAUCCAGGCGACAGGAUUCUAUGGUAGUCAAAAACAGGCAAACAAGUAAAAUAAUCACCAUUUACUUUUAAAGCAUUUUGAAAAUUGCUUGCUUAUGCUGGGAGUAAAGGUAUUUAAUGCAGUGCGCAUCCUGUUUAAAAGGUAAGGUAUGAUUCUUUUAAAGCUGACACAUUUGCCACAUUAAAAUAACAGAAAUGUACUGUUUCAACAUUUUGGAGCCGGUGUGUCUGUGUUCUUGGGGCACAUCUAAAUGUAAGAGCAGAAUUGCUUAAUAUUCUUCUCUAUUUCUUGUAUAGGUCAAUUAUGAGUGAAGAACCGUUCACCAAAUGAAGACCACAGCCAGGUGACGGGAUUGUGUGGUAAUCACAAACAGGUUGAAAAUUGAAGUUCUGUGUGUUCUUUUUGUACUUUAUUUCUGCAGGUAAGCACCAUACCGUAAGCUUCAUUCCCUUUAUAACAGAUUUAAAAGUGCCUACUGUUGAAACACAUCUGAUCUCAUCUGAAGCUGAUUCCAGCUAUACAGGUUCAUACUGUUGUAUUCUUUUAUACUGUUUUAUUCGUACUGUUUUAAAUCAUUCAGUAAAUCUAAAGUUAAACCGAUCAUACUGUUGUAUUCUUUUAAACUGUUUUAUUCGUACUGUUUUAAAUCAUU